UACGUAGGGUGCAAGCGUUGUCCGGAAUUAUUGGGCGUAAAGAGCUCGUAGGCGGUUCGUCGCGUCGGCUGUGAAAUCCCGGAGCUCAACUCCGGGUCUGCAGUCGAUACGGGCGGACUCGAGUUCGGCAGGGGAGACUGGAAUUCCUGGUGUAGCAGUGAAAUGCGCAGAUAUCAGGAGGAACACCGGUGGCGAAGGCGGGUCUCUGGGCCGAUACUGACGCUGAGGAGCGAAAGCGUGGGGAGCGAACAGG
rnacentral:rRNA from 1 species